CACGUAGGGGGCGAGCGUUGUCCGGAUUUAUUGGGCGUAAAGAGCUCGUAGGCGGUUCGGCAAGUCGGGUGUGAAAUUUCGAGGCUCAACCUCGAAAACGCCACUCGAUACUGCUGUGACUGGAGUCCGGUAGAGGAGUGCGGAAUUCCUGGUGUAGCGGUGAAAUGCGCAGAUAUCAGGAGGAACACCAACGCGAAGGCAGCACUCUGGGCCGGUACUGACGCUGAGGGAGCGAAAGCGUGGGGGAGCAAACAGGA
rnacentral:rRNA from 1 species